rnacentral:rRNA from 1 species
CGAGUUAUCCUUACUAGCGAGGUUAAAACUUUAAGAGUUGGAGCCGAAGCGAAAGCGAGUCUGAACAGGGCGUAUAGUUAGUAGGGGUAGACGCGAAACUUUGUGAUCUAUCCUUGGUCAGGCUGAAGUUCCGGUAACACGGGAUGGAGGGCCGAACCAGUAAACGUUGAAAAGUUUUUGGAUGAACUGAGGAUAGGGGUGAAAGGCCAAUCAAACUGAGAAAUAGCUCGUACUCCCCGAAAUGCAUUUAGGUGCAGCCUUGAGUCGAGUUUUGCAGAGGUAGAGCUACUGAUAAGGCUAGAGGGCUUCAUCGCCUAUCAAACCUUGACAAACUCCGAAUGCUGCAAAAUAAUGACCAGGAGUGAGGCUAUGGGUGCUAAGAUCCGUGGCCAAAAGGGAAAUAACCCAGACCAUCAGCUAAGGUCCCGAAGUAUAUGUUAAGUUGGAGAAACGAAGUGCGACUGCCCAGACAGCUAGGAUGUUGGCUUGGAAGCAGCCAUUCAUUUAAAGAGUGCGUAACAGCUCACUAGUCGAGCGGUUGUGCGUGGAUAAUAAUCGGGCAUAAACAUAUCACCGAAGCUGUGGAUCCCCGUGUAAACGGGGGUGGUAGGGGAGCAUUCCAGUCCUGCGU